UGGAGCGAGGCCCGCGGCUGGGGACGCGUCCUCGUCCCCAGCGCCACCCCUGGUGCCCGGCUCGGCGGCGGGAUGCUGGUGGCAGGGAGGGGACACGCAUCCAGUGUGGUGGGUGGCACCUGCGUCCCAGCAGUGGUCACAGAAGGACCUGACGCCCCUCUGCAAUGUGGGGAUGGGCAGCCCCCGGGCUGAGUGGUGCCCAGGUGGGAUGUCCCAUCCUUCCGCAGGAAUCUGGGGACGAGGGCACUCCCCAGCAUGCCUCAAGCCUGUCUAAAAAUCCGGCUGGUUUAUGAGCCCCCAGGCACGAGCUCCCCCUUUCCCAUGGGAAACCAUUCCCUGUCCUGCCCACAGUCUGCACUGGGACGCUUUUAGCCCAUCACCUUCCCUUCCAUACCCGCAAGCACCAGCGGUAGGGCUGGGAUGUGGAUGCUGGUCCCCUGCCUGCCCUGCCUUCCCUGCCCACGAAGGGUUACAACCAGCCCGGAUUGCUCCGAUUUCACCCUUCCAUCUGCUGCUGGCCUUUUUGGAGCCCUGCAGCGGGCAGGGGAAGGCAGCGGGAGCACACCGGGGUCAGGGCUGAGAGCGGCUCGAGGUGGGUGUCACCCUCCUGGAGUGUCCCCAACCUGGUGGGGACCCCGGCCGAGGGCACCCGGCGCGGUGGCUGCAAGGAGGCGCCUUUGGAGCCGGAGAGCGCUGGCGGAGGGGCGAUGCCUGCGGACGGGACCCGCCGAGGAGGGCUGCCGCGGCCAGUGGAGCCAAAUUUGGUGGCUGGGGGGGGCAGGGUGUGACGGGUCACCCUGGCAGAGGCUGAGACUCCUCCUCUGCGGGGAGGAGGACAAAGGAUGGAAGCGGCUGCCCCGUUGCAACACAUCCCCGGCGAGCACAAUGGAAAUGCCAUCCUCCGUCUUGUGAAACAGGAACCUCAUAUGAUCUCGCUGAAGGCUUGGGGACACUCUUGUAGGUCUGAGCGUGACGCUCCCCGGGCUCUUUUCUCUACCCGCAGGGGGACAGGGAGAGUGAGGAGUACCCCAGAGCAUCCCUGCCCUGGUGAGGACCCAACUGCCACCACUGUCCCCUGUGGCACUCUGGACCCCCUGGCAGGAGGAAGGUGAUGCCUCGCCACUCACCCUAGGGCCAAAACACCCCCAAGUUCCCCCCCAGCCCCACUAAAACACCUUCCUAUGGUUCCCCCACAGCCCUGCUGAGCAUCCCCCUCCCACCCUCCUC
rnacentral:lncRNA from 1 species